rnacentral:rRNA from 1 species
AGAGUUUGAUCAUGGCUCAGGACGAACGCUGGCGGCACGCUUAACACAUGCAAGUCGAACGAGAGAAGAGGAGCUUGCUUUUCUGAUCUAGUGGCGGACGGGUGAGUAACACGUGAGCAAUCUGCCUUUCAGAGGGGGAUACCGAUUGGAAACGAUCGUUAAUACCGCAUAACAUAAUUGAACCGCAUGAUUUGAUUAUCAAAGAUUUAUCGCUGAAAGAUGAGCUCGCGUCUGAUUAGCUAGUUGGUAAGGUAACGGCUUACCAAGGCGACGAUCAGUAGCCGGACUGAGAGGUUGAUCGGCCACAUUGGGACUGAGACACGGCCCAGACUCCUACGGGAGGCAGCAGUGGGGAAUAUUGCACAAUGGAGGAAACUCUGAUGCAGCGAUGCCGCGUGAGGGAAGAAGGUUUUAGGAUUGUAAACCUCUGUCUUCAGGGACGAAAAAAGACGGUACCUGAGGAGGAAGCUCCGGCUAACUACGUGCCAGCAGCCGCGGUAAUACGUAGGGAGCGAGCGUUGUCCGGAAUUACUGGGUGUAAAGGGAGCGUAGGCGGGAUCGCAAGUCAGAUGUGAAAACUAUGGGCUUAACCCAUAAACUGCAUUUGAAACUGUGGUUCUUGAGUGAAGUAGAGGUAAGCGGAAUUCCUAGUGUAGCGGUGAAAUGCGUAGAUAUUAGGAGGAACAUCAGUGGCGAAGGCGGCUUACUGGGCUUUAACUGACGCUGAGGCUCGAAAGCGUGGGGAGCAAACAGGAUUAGAUACCCUGGUAGUCCACGCCGUAAACGAUGAUUACUAGGUGUGGGGGGACUGACCCCUUCCGUGCCGCAGCAAACGCAAUAAGUAAUCCACCUGGGGAGUACGACCGCAAGGUUGAAACUCAAAGGAAUUGACGGGGGCCCGCACAAGCAGUGGAGUAUGUGGAUUAAUUCGAAGCAACGCGAAGAACCUUACCAGGUCUUGACAUCGUAUGCAUAGCUCAGAGAUGAGUGAAAUCUCUUCGGAGACAUAUAGACAGGUGGUGCAUGGUUGUCGUCAGCUCGUGUCGUGAGAUGUUGGGUUAAGUCCCGCAACGAGCGCAACCCUUACUGUUAGUUGCUACGCAAGAGCACUCUAGCAGGACUGCCGUUGACAAAACGGAGGAAGGUGGGGAUGACGUCAAAUCAUCAUGCCCCUUAUGACCUGGGCCUCACACGUACUACAAUGGCUGUCAACAGAGGGAAGCAAAGCCGCGAGGUGGAGCGAACCCCUAAAAGCAGUCUUAGUUCGGAUUGUAGGCUGCAACCCGCCUACAUGAAGUCGGAAUUGCUAGUAAUCGCAGAUCAGCAUGCUGCGGUGAAUACGUUCCCGGGCCUUGUACACACCGCCCGUCACGCCAUGGGAGUCGGUAACACCCGAAGCCUGUAGUCUAACCGCAAGGAGGACGCAGUCGAAGGUGGGAUCGAUGACUGGGGUGAAGUCGUAACAAGGUA